rnacentral:rRNA from 1 species
CCUACGGGGGGCUGCAGUGGGGAAUAUUGGACAAUGGGCGAAAGCCUGAUCCAGCCAUGCCGCGUGUGUGAAGAAGGCCUUCGGGUUGUAAAGCACUUUCAGUGGGGAAGAAAGCCUUGGGGCUAAUACCCUCGAGGAAGGACAUCACCCACAGAAGAAGCACCGGCUAACUCCGUGCCAGCAGCCGCGGUAAUACGGAGGGUGCGAGCGUUAAUCGGAAUUACUGGGCGUAAAGUGCGCGUAGGCGGUCUGAUAAGCCGGUUGUGAAAGCCCCGGGCUCAACCUGGGAACGGCAUCCGGAACUGUCAGGCUAGAGUGCAGGAGAGGAAGGUAGAAUUCCCGGUGUAGCGGUGAAAUGCGUAGAGAUCGGGAGGAAUACCAGUGGCGAAGGCGGCCUUCUGGACUGACACUGACGCUGAGGUGCGAAAGCGUGGGUAGCAAACAGGAUUAGAUACCCUAGUAGUC